CAGCCGCCGCGGGAAUACGUAGGUGGCGAGCGUUGUCCGGAAUUAUUGGGCGUAAAGGGAGCGCAGGCGGACAUAUAAGUCCAUCUUAAAAGUGCGGGGCUCAACCCCGUGAGGGGAUGGAAACUGUAUGCCUUGAGUGCAGGAGAGGAAAGCGGAAUUCCCAGUGUAGCGGUGAAAUGCGUAGAUAUUGGGAGGAACACCAGUGGCGAAGGCGGCUUUCUGGACUGUAACUGACGCUGAGGCUCGAAAGCCAGGGGAGCGAACGGGAUUAGAUACCCGUGUAGUCCCUGUCUCUUAUACA
rnacentral:rRNA from 1 species